rnacentral:rRNA from 1 species
GACGAACGCUGGCGGCGUGCUUAACACAUGCAAGUCGAACGGUGAAGCGCCUUCCUUUUUGGUGGGUGUGGAUGAGUGGCGAACGGGUGAGUAGCACGUGAGUAACCUGCCCCCUUCUUCUGGAUAACCGCAUGAAAGUGUGGCUAAUACGGGAUAUUCUGGGUCUGUCGCAUGAUGGGUCUGGGAAAGAUAUUGUUUCGGUGGGGGAUGGCUCGCGGCCUAUCAGCUUGUUGGUGGGGUGAUGGCCUACCAAGGCGGUGACGGGUAGCCGGCCUGAGAGGGUGGACGGUCACACUGGGACUGAGACACGGCCCAGACUCCUACGGGAGGCAGCAGUGGGGAAUAUUGCACAAUGGGCGCAAGCCUGAUGCAGCGACGCCGCGUGAGGGAUGGAGGCCUUCGGGUUGUGAACCUCUUUCGCCAGUGAAGCAGGCCUGCCUCGUUUGUGGGUGGGUUGACGGUAGCUGGAUAAGAAGCGCCGGCUAACUACGUG